rnacentral:rRNA from 1 species
UACGAAGGGGGCUAGCGUUGUUCGGAAUUACUGGGCGUAAAGCGCGCGUAGGCGGACUGGCAAGUCGGGGGUGAAAUGCCGAGGCUCAACCUCGGAACUGCCUUCGAUACUGCCUGUCUUGAGGUCGGGAGAGGUGAGUGGAACUCCGAGUGUAGAGGUGAAAUUCGUAGAUAUUCGGAAGAACACCAGUGGCGAAGGCGGCUCACUGGCCCGAUUCUGACGCUGGAGGCGCGAAAGCGUGGGGAGCAAACAGG